CAUAACACCAACACAGAAAAAAAUAAUAUUACUAGAUUACAUUCAUAUCAAAGGAACUAGAUUCUGUUCCGAAAUAUCACUUACUCGAACCGUCAACAGUGCGGAUGUCGUUCGAUUUUUGAUUGAGUAACUUGCUGAUACAGCUUCUGAAAAAAAGAAAAAGGAUGAUGAAUUUUGUGGUUUUUGCUUUGGGGCAUCCAAGGAAACGGUGUAUACGUGCAUGACUGGGAUAAAAACUCGUAUUAACCCAUUGUCUUCCUGAGGCCCCCC